rnacentral:rRNA from 1 species
UAGGGAAUCUUCCACAAUGGACGCAAGUCUGAUGGAGCAACGCCGCGUGAGUGAAGAAGGUUUUCGGAUCGUAAAGCUCUGUUGUUGGUGAAGAAGGAUAGAGGCAGUAACUGGUCUUUAUUUGACGGUAAUCAACCAGAAAGUCGCGGCUAACUACGUGCCAGCAGCCGCGGUAAUACGUAGGUGGCAAGCGUUGUCCGGAUUUAUUGGGCGUAAAGCGAGCGCAGGCGGAAUGAUAAGUCUGAUGUGAAAGCCCACGGCUCAACCGUGGAACUGCAUCGGAAACUGUCAUUCUUGAGUGCAGAAGAGGAGAGUGGAAUUCCAUGUGUAGCGGUGGAAUGCGUAGAUAUAUGGAAGAACACCAGUGGCGAAGGCGGCUCUCUGGUCUGCAACUGACGCUGAGGCUCGAAAGCAUGGGUAGCGAACAGG